UACAGAGGUCUCAAGCGUUGUUCGGAUUCAUUGGGCGUAAAGGGUGCGUAGGCGGCGCGGUAAGUCGGGUGUGAAAUCUCGGAGCUUAACUCCGAAACUGCAUUCGAUACUGCCGUGCUUGAGGACUGGAGAGGAGACUGGAAUUUACGGUGUAGCGGUGAAAUGCGUAGAGAUCAUGAGGAAGACCAGUGGCGGAGGCGGGUCUCUGGACAGUUCCUGACACUGAGGCACGAAGGCCAGGGGAGCAAACGGG
rnacentral:rRNA from 1 species